UAUAUUUUAGUAUUAUUAGUUUAUGGAUAUUAGUCAUGUACAUGUCACUGCACUCUCUUGUCUACACUUCUCAUCUCUGUUCUCAUGUAUUCAUGCCCAGUUUCAUUUGUAUCACUGUCUCCCUCUGGUCACUGCACUCUCUUGUCCUGCACCUGCACUUCCUCAUCUUUGUUGGCCACACCCCACUCUGUCAUCUUUUCC